CGGGUGGGCACUCUAAGGAGACUGCCGGUGACAAACCGGAGGAAGGUGGGGAUGACGUCAAGUCAUCAUGGCCCUUACGGCCAGGGCUACACACGUGCUACAAUGGUCGGUACAAAGGGUUGCCAAGCCGCGAGGUGGAGCUAAUCCCAUAAAACCGAUCGUAGUCCGGAUCGCAGUGUGCAACUCGACUGCGUGAAGUGGGAAUCUCU
rnacentral:rRNA from 1 species